rnacentral:lncRNA from 1 species
GUGACUUAAUAGGAUAUUACAGCACGGAUCGUGCUACAUAAACAGUUACUAAAGAAAUACCAGAAUAAAGGAGCUACCUAUUGCUACACAAGCUUUAGUCAACAUAAAUUAGAUUUGUUCAUCUGCAAAAGCAUCAGUCAAGCACAAUAUGAAGAAAAUUUUGAAGAGCGGGCUCCAAACCUUUGUAAAUACUUGAAUGACCCAUGACAGACAUUGACUUUUUACAUAAAUGGUCACAAGAAGCAUUCUAGAAACAGUUUACAAAACUUUACUAAUUGGUUUUCAUCACAGUCAAGUUUCCAAAUGGACAGAAACAGCUGGUUGCAAUAAACAUUUAGUGUCAAAUUGGCCAGCCAACACUUCAUCCUUAGGCUGUUGCAUCCAAGGAUUACUUCAGGAUCCGUGCAAUCUCUAUCUAGUCCAUGCAGCAAGUUUGUGUUCACCAGCUUCUCUGAGAAGUCUGCAUUCUCAUCCAAAACAGGAACAAGAAAAGUUCACUGUUCUCUUCUGUCAAAGAAUUUGCAAUGAAAAGGCUAUUUUCCCUCCAAAGCUAUGCUGUCUUUAAUCUUUCCAGCUCUGACAUGACACUAGAAGGUAAAUGGAGCUAUCUGGGCCAGUAGCCACUUGUUAAUCCCUCCCUGGGCAGGGUCUAUGUUUUGUUUCAUUUAAAAGGCCUCCAUAAAUGGCAAAACAGAAUACAGCUGCUACAAGUUGACACCACUAUGAGAAUGGUUGCUGGUUAGAGCAUGUUAUAAAAGGAAUGAUGACAUCUUUAUCUCCUUCAAGAUCUUGGAUGCCAUAAUUAAAUAUAUCAAUUAACUGAAUUGAAGAUAUGGGUUUAAUAGCUGGGUGGAUAACCAUAAGGUAAAGGCUUGUAUCCAACCAGUGCCCAUACUGCAGGUUCCCAUGUUAAAUCUCAAGCUGCAUUUCUUUGAAAUGUACAGUUAUAAACUGUGAAAGUUAAUAUUAUAAAUAUGGGAAUGUAAGAUGUCACAGAUAAUAAAAAUAAAUAUAAAUUAAUAUUGAAAUUAUCA